rnacentral:misc_RNA from 1 species
GAUGAAGAACGUAGCGAAAUGCGAUAAGUAAUGUGAAUUGCAGAAUUCAGUGAAUCAUCGAAUCUUUGAACGCACAUUGCGCCCUUUGGUAUUCCUUAGGGCAUGCCUGUUCGAGCGUCAUUUGAAACCUCAAGCUCAGCUUGGUGUUGGGUGUCUGUCCCCGCCUCACCGCGGGGACUCGCCUCAAAAUCAUUGGCGGCCGGUACGUUGGCUUCGAGCGCAGCAGAAACGCGAACUCGAGGCCCGGCGGAUCGGCGACCAGAAGUCACUUCUUCACAGUUUGACCUCGGAUCAGGUAGGGAUACCCGCUGAACUUAAGCAUAUCAAUAGCGGAGGA